CGGACGGGUGAGUAAUGUCUGGGAAACUGCCUGAUGGAGGGGGAUAACUACUGGAAACGGUAGCUAAUACCGCAUAACGUCGCAAGACCAAAGAGGGGACCUUCGGGCCUCUUGCCAUCGGAUGUGCCCAGAUGGGAUUAGCUAGUAGGUGGGGUAACGGCUCAUCUAGGCGACGAUCCCUAGCUGGUCUGAGAGGAUGACCAGCCACACUGGAACUGAGACACGGUCCAG
rnacentral:rRNA from 1 species